rnacentral:rRNA from 1 species
UACGUAGGGUCCGAGCGUUGCCCGGAAUUACUGGGCGUAAAGAGCUCGUAGGUGGUUUGUCGCGUUGUUCGUGAAAACUCACAGCUUAACUGUGGGCGUGCGGGCGAUACGGGCAGACUAGAGUACUGCAGGGGAGACUGGAAUUCCUGGUGUAGCGGUGGAAUGCGCAGAUAUCAGGAGGAACACCGGUGGCGAAGGCGGGUCUCUGGGCAGUAACUGACGCUGAGGAGCGAAAGCGUGGGGAGCGAACAGG